GAUGAACGCUGACAGAAUGCUUAACACAUGCAAGUCAACUGUGGCGGACGGGUGAGUAACGCGUAAAGAACUUGCCUCACAGCUAGGGACAACAUUUGGAAACGAAUGCUCAUACCUGAAACUGGGAGAGAGCUUUGCGUCCCAUUAGCUAGUUGGAGAGGUAACGGCUCACAAAGGCGAGGAUGGGUAGCCGGCCUGUGAGGGUGAUCGGCCACAAGGGGACUGAGAAAGCGCCCUUAGGCCAACGGGAGGCAGCAGUGGGGAAUAGUGGACAAUGGACCAAAGUCUGAUCCAGCAAUUCUGUGUGCACGAUGAAGUUUUGGGAAUGUAAAGUGUGUGCAGUUGGGAAGCGGUACCAACAGAAGAAGUGACGGCUAAAUACGUGCCAGCAGCCGCGGUAAUAC
rnacentral:rRNA from 1 species